GACGAACGCUGGCGGCGUGCCUAAUACAUGCAAGUUGAGCGAUGAAGAUUGGUGCUUGCCCCAAUUUGAAGAGCAGCGAACGGGUGAGUAACGCGUGGGGAAUCUGCCUUUGAGCGGGGGACAACAUUUGGAAACGAAUGCUAAUACCGCAUAACAACUUUAAACAUAAGUUUUAAGUUUGAAAGAUGCAAUUGCAUCACUCAAAGAUGAUCCCGCGUUGUAUUAGCUAGUUGGUGAGGUAAAGGCUCACCAAGGCGAUGAUACAUAGCCGACCUGAGAGGGUGAACGGCCAAAUUGGGACUGAGACACGGCCCAAACUCCUAAGGGAGGAAGCAGUAGGGAAUCUUCGGCAAUGGACGAAAGUCUGACCGGGCAACGCCGCGUUAGUGAAGAAGGGUUUCGGAUCGUAAAACUCUGUUGGUAGAGAAGAACGUUGGUGAGAGUGGAAAGCUCAUCAAGUGACGGUAACUACCCAGAAAGGGACGGCUAACUACGUG
rnacentral:rRNA from 1 species